CGACAUGCCCGUUGCCCGGGGACAACCGGUGGAAACGCCGACUAAUCCCCGAUGGGACGGAGGCCCUCAUGGGUCUCUGUUGAAAGUUACGGCGGCGACGGAUUGGCUCGCGUCCGAUUAGCUUGUUGGCGGGGUAACGGCCCACCAAGGCUACGAUCGGUAGGGGUUCUGAGAGGAAGGUCCCCCACAAUGGAACUGAGACACGGUCCAUACUCCUACGGGAGGCAGCAGUGAGGAAUAUUGGUCAAUGGGCGGAAGCCUGAACCAGCCAUGCCGCGUGCGGGAAGGAGGCCCUAUGGGCUGUGAACCGCUUUUGCCUGGGGGCAAUAAGGGCGUCGCGCACGUCCGAUGAGAGUACCAGGGGAAUAAGCAUCGGCUAACUCCGUGCCAGCAGCCGCGGUAAUACGGGGGAUGCGAGCGUUAUCCGGAUUCAUUGGGUUUAAAGGGUGCGUAGGCUGUGCGUCAAGUCAGGGGUGAAAUUCCGGGGCUCAACUCCGGGGCUGCCCUUGAUACUGUCGCGCUGGAGUGCGGAUGCCGCCGGAGGAAUGAGUGGUGUAGCGGUGAAAUGCUUAGAUAUCACUCAGAACACCGAUUGCGAAGGCAUCUGGCGAAUCCGUAACUGACGCUGAGGCACGAAAGCGUGGGGAUAGAACAGGAUUAGAUACCCUGGUAUUCCACGCCGUAAACGAUGAUGGCUAACCGCCGGCGACACACUGUCGGUGGCCAAGCGAAAGCGAUAAGCCAUCCACCUGGGGAGUACGUCGGCAACGAUGAAACUCAAAGGAAUUGACGGGGGCCCGCACAAGCGGAGGAACAUGUGGUUUAAUUCGAUGAUACGCGAGGAACCUUACCCGGGCUCGAACGGCGCCUGAACCACCCAGAGACGGGUGGGUCUUCGGACAGGUGCCGAGGUGCUGCAUGGUUGUCGUCAGCUCGUGCCGUGAGGUGUCGGCUCAAGUGCCAUAACGAGCGCAACCCCUGCCGCCAGUUGCCAUCAGGUGAAGCUGGGCACUCUGGCGGGACUGCCACCGCAAGGUGUGAGGAGGGGGGGGAUGACGUCAAAUCAGCACGGCCCUUACGUCCG
rnacentral:rRNA from 1 species